rnacentral:rRNA from 1 species
UACGACUACAUAUCAGGCAUAUCAAUAAGCGGAGGAAAAGAAACUAACAAGGAUUCCCUUAGUAACGGCGAGUGAAGCGGGAAGAGCUCAAAUUUGAAAUCUUAAAGGGUUUCCCUUUACGAAUUGUAGUUUAAAGAAGUGUUUUCUGUUGGAGUCGGCUAAAAGUUCCUUGGAAUAGGACAUCAUAGAGGGUGAGAAUCCCGUAUUUGGUUAUUCUUUCUAGCUUUGUGAUACACUUUCAAAGAGUCGGAUUGUUUGGGAAUGCAGUCCAAAAUGGGUGGUAAAUUUCAUCUAAAGCUAAAUAUUGGCGAGAGACCGAUAGCGAACAAGUACCGUGAGGGAAAGAUGAAAAGAACUUUGAAAAGAGAGUUAAACAGUACGUGAAAUUGUCAAAAGGGAAGCGUUUGACACCAGUGUUGUUUUUCCGAAAAUCAAUUAUAAAUGUUUUGUUUCUGAGGAGUGAUGACUUCAUCGGCUUCCUUCUCUCUUCACGAAACUUUUGUAAUGCACUUUUCGGUUAACAAGUCAACAUCAAUUUCUUUUGUUGUAAAAGAGUAUUCGGAAGGUGGCUUUCUUUUCGGAGAAAGUGUUUAUAGCCCUAUACUUCUACAAUCGGAGAGAUUGAGGUCUGCAGCGUAGAUCCUUCGGGGCUAGAUACACUUGUGCUAAGUUAUAGCUUUUCAUAGACAACUUGUUGACUAUGCUCAGUCAUGUAGCUUACCCGCUUGUGCUAUUUUACCUACGCUUAGGAUGUUGAUCUACAGAGCGAGAGU